UAAAACUAUAGAGGAGCUUUCUAUAUAAGUAAAUAGCGGAGCAGGCGUGCAAAGAUUCUAUUGAAAGGAUAAGAUAGCCGAAUUAGUUUUCUAGGCAUAGAAAACUAAUGGCAACAAUUCAUAACAGUUUGUUGCUCUUUGGUAAACAUUGGUGCUAUAGUCAUU
rnacentral:ncRNA from 2 species